rnacentral:rRNA from 1 species
UACAGAGGGUGCGAGCGUUAAUCGGAAUUACUGGGCGUAAAGCGUGCGUAGACGGCUAUCUAAGUCGGGUGUGAAAGCCCCGGGCUCAACCUGGGAAUUGCAUUUGUGACUGCACGGCUAGAGUGUGUCAGAGGGGGGUAGAAUUCCACGUGUAGCAGUGAAAUGCGUAGAUAUGUGGAGGAAUACCGAUGGCGAAGGCAGCCCCCUGGGAUAACACUGACGCUCAUGCACGAAAGCGUGGGGAGCAAACAGG